UAUUUUGUUCUUUUAUACUUUGAGCACGUUUUUGGGUUUUAGUGUAAGGGAUGUUAAUUAAAAUUUUUAUUAUGCUUCCGCAUUUGACAUUUUUAAUACACAUAUUUCAUUCUAAAUUUCCGGGGCCGCUACAGUUGGUAUCAGAGCCGCGUUUCCUCGGACCCAUCCCUUACACAAUAGUGCCUUAGAGAAAUACUCACCGAUAGAUCGCUACUCAACCAUUCCUUGUGAAAACAAGUACACGGAAAUGAGUAGAGGAAGGCCCCCACUAAACCGAGCGGCCCAAGAUAAUUCACUUCGGGAGGAUUUAGACAGACUAUUUGAGAUGGUGGAAGCUCUCGUAGCUGCCCAGCAAAGGCGAAAGGAGAGAAGGGAGUUACCCGGACCUCCUCCGCUAUCGCAGGUUGAGCCCCCGCUACAGCAGGCUGAUCCCUAGCCACCCCGGCAGGAGCCUGCUCCUCCACAGUACCACCCGGCACCACAGCCGCGGUACGACCCGGUACCACAGCCACGGUACCACCAGGCACCGCCACAGCACAUUUCAGUACCCCCACCACAUCAGCAGGUGCCACCACAGGGACCCCCAGUUCACCCUCAGCCGGCCCCAGUCCCUCUACCUCGGGACCCCGCUCCUUCCUUGAUCGACCCCGGCUUCAUAGAGAGGUACAGAAGACUGAACCCUUCUACUUUUGCAGGGGGAUCCUCUUUUGAAGAGGCCAAUACUGGCUGGCAGAGACUGAGAGAGCUUUCGAGACCUUGGGAGUAGUUCCUGAGCAGAGGGCUGCCAUUGCCUCCUACAUGCUGGUAGGGGAAGCAGUACGCUGGUGGG
rnacentral:lncRNA from 1 species